rnacentral:rRNA from 1 species
GAGUUUGAUCGUGGCUCAGAUUGAACGCUGGCGGCAUGCUUUACACAUGCAAGUCGAGCGGCAGCGCGGGGCAACCUGGCGGCGAGCGGCGAACGGGUGAGUAAUGCAUCGGAACGUACCCCGUAGUGGGGGAUAACGCCGGGAAACCGGCGCUAAUACCGCAUAUGCUCUACGGAGGAAAGUGGGGGACCGCAAGGCCUCACGCUAUGGGAGCGGCCGAUGUCCGAUUAGCUAGUUGGUGGGGUAAUGGCUUACCAAGGCGACGAUCGGUAGCUGGUCUGAGAGGAUGAUCAGCCACACUGGGACUGAGACACGGCCCAGACUCCUACGGGAGGCAGCAGUGGGGAAUUUUGGACAAUGGGGGCAACCCGUGAUCCAGCCAUGCCGCGUGCGGGAAGAAGGCCUUCGGUUG